GAUGAACGCUGGCGGCGUGCCUAAUACAUGCAAGUAGAACGCAGUUGCGAACGGGUGAGUAACGCGUAGGUAACCUGCCUCAUAGCGGGGGAUAACUAUUGGAAACGAUAGCUAAUACCGCAUACUGUGAGAUGGACCUGCGUUGUAUUAGCUAGUUGGUGAGGUAAAGGCUCACCAAGGCGACGAUACAUAGCCGACAGGAGAGGGUGGUCGGCCAGACUGGGAGUGAGACACGGCCCAGACGCCUACGGGUGGCAGCAGUAGGGAUUCUUCGGGAAUGAACGGGAGUCUGACCGAGCAACGCCGCGUGAGUGAGGAGGAUUUUCGGAUGGUAGAGCACUGUUGUUGGGGAGGCGGUAGCUAACCAGAAAGGAACGGCUAACUACGUGCCAGCAGCCGCGGUAAUAC
rnacentral:rRNA from 1 species